rnacentral:rRNA from 1 species
UUAUAUAUAAAUAUAAUUUAUUUUAUUAUAAAAUUUUAUUUAAUUAAGAAAAUACAUGAAAUUUU